CAGUAGCCACGGUAAUACAGAGGGUGCGAGCGUUAAUCGGAUUUACUGGGCGUAAAGCGUGCGUGGGCGGCUUUUUAAGUCGGAUGUGAAAUCCCUGAGCUUAACUUAGGAAUUGCAUUCGAUACUGGGAAGCUAGAGUAUGGGAGAGGAUGGUAGAAUUCCAGGUGUAGCGGUGAAAUGCGUAGAGAUCUGGAGGAAUACCGAUGGCGAAGGCAGCCAUCUGGCCUAAUACUGACGCUGAGGUACGAAAGCAUGGGGAGCAAACAGGAUUAGAUACCCGCGUAGUCCCUGUCUCUUAUAC
rnacentral:rRNA from 1 species